CUUUUAUUUCCUUGAGCAGUGGUUUGUAGUUCUCCUUGAAGAGGAGUUGCCUUGGGACCUGUGCUUCCUUGGCUCUAUGCACUACCAGACGCAGUCCAGUGGGCAGCCUGGCGGGUGGCCCUGGGACUCAUUGCUUUGCAGCCUGUCUGGACCAUCCCUAACAGUUUAUUUUUUUGACUUUUCCAGUGGAGAGUCCACAGAGAAUAUGACUUUUCCUUGGGUCAUCUGUAAAGACUUGGCAAGGGAUGUCUUGCAUCUGGGAAGAUGUGGUCUUGGGGGUCACCUAAGCAGCAGAGGAAACCUUGCAAGAUGACAUUUGGGGCUAAUGUGGAAUUAACUAAUAGACUGAUGAGUUUGCUUGAUCUGAGAACUCACAAAGGAUGUUGAGGAAGAAAGGGCAGCUAUGACCUAUCUUGGGGUUUUGCAUUUUGUUCUUGUGACCCUGUGGAAAUGCUCAGAUGAGUGCACAUGUUCAGACUCAUGCCAGGCCAGUGUGAAGAAUCAAGCUGAGUAUGCAUCCUUCCGAGGCUCAAAGCCAAGAGAAAGAAAGAGAGGCCUGGUGAAAUAUCAUAGGAAAUGUCACGGUCUUUUCUGGACUCUCUUAAAAAGCCCAAGACCCAUUUAAUAUUUCGAUUGCAAGACAUAUCUCUACUGGAUGGUGUUUUGGAAAGCUGGAGUUUAGGAAAAUCCUGGCUGUAGGAAUGCUCUACUGCUGUGAACAUUCCCGCUUUAGGAAUGCUCAUAGCAGUAGAGAGUGGGCUACUGACUUUUCUGGUUUUCAACAGUAUCUUAUUUUUCCUGAACAUUUAUUAACUGUCUGCCCUAUCAGAGAACUUCUCAGAUUGGGACUUCCCUUGAGUAAGAGACAAUGACCUGAAAUGCAGGGCGAGAGAAAUUUCUUUCAGUUUUAGGCGGAAGGUGGGACCCAAAUUUAAGAGAGCCAACCCCAAGUAAGGAAGAUCAGCUCUCACUGGGAGCUGUGUAGGACCCAGGGGGGAGCACACCCCAGGAAAGGGCUGCCGGUGGAUCCGGAGGCCUGACCUGGGGCCCAGGCUGAAGUAGAACAUCAGCACCUCUAGUAGCCCAGCAAUUUGGAUAGCAGGCAGAGUUUAAAGGACCAAACUGGAAUUAUGAGUCAAGACUGGGCAGGAAGCAGGAAGCAAGGAUGAGGAGCCAGGUUAUGAUAACUAGUGAUGCAUGGGGUGUCCAGGCCCAGAGGCACUAAAAGGGGGUCAAGGACCCAGCAUGGAGACUGGGUAACAGAGAGCCAUGCUGUGCUCAUGGAAUCUGGGCAGCAAGAGUAGCAGCUCCCAGAGGGGCUGGCUGGCAACCUUUUGUAUCAGCUUAGGAACUUUUCAUGUUGGUCAGGAGCAGAGACGCAGUUCCAGUUUUGGCUGGCCUGGAGCUUGCAGGAUAAGCCCGUGUCUGGCUGCACUGUAAAAAUAACACGGAGAAUAGGAUGGGUCUUGUCCUUGGUCUCUAGAGCAGCCACUACAUGGAAGAAAGAGGUAGAAGGCAGGUGUCUAUCAAGUGACAUCACAGAACUCAAGAGGAGUGAAUGUCACCUCCAUUCCCCAGUCUCCCAACAUUCCCUGGGGAACAGGGCAGAGGGAAGACAGAGUAGGGGAAUUCCAGGAUAAGCUUCAUGCACCCAGAAUGUGGAAUGCUCACCAAAGAAGAACAAGAGCCGUGUUCACAUCAUGAUAUUCCGCCCUCUUAAUUCCCAAACAGGGCUCCCAGGCUACAGAGCAGCUUUGAUAACAGCAGUGCACUCCCUCUCCUCUAGAAAGUUAGGUGGCUUUAAAAUAGGUAAGGCUAAUUUCAUUCCUUCUGUGAGUUCUGAUGAAAGGGGCAUUUGGCGAAAAACACGUGUGGGUUGGCAUGCAAUGAAUACUUAUUUACAUGGGUGUUUUGAAGACAAUGACACAGAAUCAAAAUUUAACCCACAAGUUUAGGUUUUCAGUUUCCUUCUGCUUCUCUCCUUUGAGAGGUAGAGAUGGAGAAACUGUCUCUACCGCUCUUAUUUUCUCACUCUGAUAACAAUCUUUUCCAUUAGUAGAGUGCUAUAUAAGGUACAGUGCACUUGGGAAAUGCCUCUUGGGAAGGUGACAUGUAAAAAUGGUGGUCAACGCCACUUCUGGGCAGGUGCCAAGGCCUGUAGCAGCCUGUGUCUUUGGGUCCUGCAUGCUUUCCUUUGUGUUGGCUGGUUCCUCUGGCUGAGUUCACUGUUGGUCUGUCUGUGGCAAUUACGGAGAAGCAUGACAGUCACAGCUUCCCUGAGUUCUACUGAACUCAUGAACUUUGUUCAUAACAGACUCUACAAGUGGUACAGGAUUCCUAUGGCCACAACUCAACUCAACUCCGUAGAAAUCAAUGUUUAUGGAUCAUUGGAGCUAAAAGAAAACUUGCAGAUCAGAUCAUCUCAUCCAAUUCCCUGACUUUACAGAAUGAGGAAACUGAGGCACAGUAAGAUUUUUUUUUUUAUUUUUUGCCCAGGUCUGAAUAAAAUUGAAGGCACCCUUACCAUAGCCAGGAUUCUUUGUAUAUACCACUGGCUGACCAGUGGUAGCUGAAAAAAAAAAAAAAAGGGAUUUGAGAUGGUAGGAGGGGUGUCUGACUGAGGAGCCAUUUUUAUAGGUUUUUAUAGACAUUUGCAUUGGUUUGGAGUAGCAGAACCAGAAAUAGUCUUUCCCUUUUCAGGAGCAACUCUGCACAGAAGACUCACUGGCUUUGGACUCUGUCCCUAUCACAUACAUUUCAGUAGCCAGGCCAAGGCAUCUGGCUGGGAGGCUGGGUACGUCUCAGAGAAUAAGCGCUUGUCAUAGAAUGGGUCGUGAAGCUGGGCAGAGAGCCAGGUUUGCAGAAAUGGCUUUGUAUUGAUGAAGAAGGGAGAUUUUUACCUUGUCUUGGCCUCCAUCAUGAAGAGAGUGUUACAAAAAAGUACAGAUGACAGCAGGCCACUCUCGGAGACACACACGAAGCUUGUCUUCCUCCAUCCCAAAUACAUAGGUCAGUGGACCCUCAGGAAUCCAUUCUGAUGCACGGGUGGAUGAGCCAAGGGCUGGGCAGAGGCCAUUUCAAUAGCUUAAUGCUUGCCAGGUAUAUCUGAGCUAGUGCUGCCCCAGGGACAGAGUAUCCUCUGGGAGAUCUGAACCAAGCGAGGGUGUGGCAGCCGGUGGAUGACUUACAGUCAGCCUAUCUGGGCAGAUUUUAAACCCUGGCGUUUUUAGUGCCUUGACUAGUGUGAGAAACUUGAAACUCAGUCUCAUUGCUAUUUGUGGUAAUGGUCAUUUAGUUUCAGGAAAACAUCGAUGGUGCCCUUCCCUAGAUAGCUGCGUUGCAAUGGACCACAUUAUGGCAUGCACAUUAAUGUAGGGAUUGUUCAUACAAAAGAGGGCAAAGAUGCCACUUGUGACAGAAAUGACUGUUACCCAGUGUCUGUUCUCUACCUCUUUCAUAGGGAUAGAAUUUUCAGCUGGGCACAUGACUGCUUAGAAUGAAGAACUACAGUUCUCAUCCUCCCUUGUGGCUAAGUGAGGUUUUGUGACUAAGUUCUAGAUAGUAGGAUGUCAGCAGAGGUGAUGCGUGUGACUUCCGGUGUGUGCCCUUGAAGGCAAAGUCAUGCCUGCCCUUUCCCUUUCUCCCUCUGCAGGCGUGUUGCCGUCAUGGUGAGGAGCCAUUUCAUAUCAUGCAGACUAAAAGACCCUUUCCAGGUGCUGGAGCAACCAUUCAGAAGGCGGUGAUGGCUGGGGGAGGGCUUCCAUGGGAGAGAGGAAGUAAAUGUCUCUCAUGGGGAAUCCCUGUUGUUUUGGUCUCUGUCAACCAUGGUUCAAUUCAUAACUUAAGUUAUACCCUACUUAUUGGGAACUUUGAUUUUGGAAGGCAAAGAAAUUUAAAAAUUAAGAAAUAAAAAUAAAACAACAGAUAGCACUUGGAUAAGUUGGCCAAGUUCAAGUAACACAAAAAAGUCAGGACAUGGAACCAGGAGGUGGAAGUGCCUUGUUUCUCCUCCUCCUCUUUCCGUUUCCCAUGUCACCCACAGGACUGGUGUGCCCGGUAGGAAAGAUUGGUAGGUCCCACUGGUCCCGAGUGUCCUACGGCCCUUUAUAUUGGAUAAUAUUGGAACUGGAUUCUCCUAGAGAUUGGGAAUGGUGGCAGAAAAAUUAAAAUUGGGAGGUGAAAGCUCAAGGAGGUAGUUACAAAGCAAAGGAAAACAAACAGUUUUGGGCAUCCAGCUGCCUUUCAGUGGUGGUCACUAUGGCAGAGAUCAGCAGAGUGAAGGGCUAGGAGAUAGACUCAUUUCGGAUCUAACUUUAAUAAUCAAUUUUAAUGACCCUUGAGCGAAUGGAGCAGUUGAUUUUCCUCUCAAUCCUCUCUCUGUGUCUGUUGUUCCUGCAAAGCCUAUUGGGACUUGCCUGAGGAAUUGGCCCUUAUCCUUGAGGUUAAUGAAAGACAACACUCAAGAAGCUUCCCACUUACAGAACUCUUUCUCCAAUUUAGAAUGGAGGCUACUUUUUUUUUUACUGUGGUAAAAUAUACAUAAUAUAACAUUCACAUUUUAACCAUUUUAAAGUGGCAUUGAGUACAUUCAUACUGUUGUGCAACCAUCACAACCAUCCAUCUCCAGGACUGUUUUCUUCCUGCAAAACUGAAACGCUCUACCUAUUAAACAAUCAGUUCCCAUUCCCCCUUCCCCCAGCCCCUGGCACCCACCAUUCUACUUUCUGUCUAUGAAUUUGACCACUCUGGGAACCUCAUAUAAGUGGAAUCUCAGAGUAUUUGUCCUUUUGUGACUGGAGCUAGUUUUGGCUAAGUCAUGGGAGAGGCAAGUGGAUCCCUUGCUGGUAGGAAGGACAGGGCCGUGUUGACAGGGACCAUGAGGCCUCCGCCCUGCAGUUUUCCUUUGUCCUCUGCGUGGGGUGGGGCAGCCCUCUUGGGGAAAAGGCUCUCCUCAUUUCAUCUUUACUUUUCCUUCCUGGGAGAUGGAGCAAAUGGUGCCUGCCUUGUCUAUUUGGAGCACACAGGCAUAGAUCAUUAAUAAGAUAAUUGGAAGGUACUUGGCAAAAUCUGAAAUAUUAACUGUCUCAGAGAAGCUGAAUAAUCACAGGGUCUCACCAAGUGCCACCUCAACAAGUGCAGCUUUCACCCGUCCUUGGACAUUUAUUUCCCUUUGUCUGCACUCUGUUCCCUUUCUCCCAAAAUGCUGGGUAGAGGUUCUUUAAAAUUCAAGAAAAAAAUCAGACUUCCCCUUCUCCCCAGUGACAUUCCCGGCCUCUUCUCUCACUCGAGUGAUUUCCUGUAUGAAAUUCAACAACAGGUCCACCCAGAGGAGUUCUUUUUCCUCCAGCUUCUCUGUUUAAAAAUCUUGGGUUCUUCCUGACAAAAGGAGGCUUAGUCAUCUUCCCCCAGUGACAGGCCCUACUUAAAAACAAACAACGAAGAAAUCCUACAUCCCACUCCAGCUUGUGCUGCAGAGCCUGGCCGGGGAGGGACAGGGGAUGGUACACUUGGAAAGGCAAUCAAAGAGUGGGCGGUCAGAAAACAAAACCUGCCAGGUUAUCAAAAGGACACCACCUCCAAUGCACAGAGCUGCUUCCUUCCCGCACACACGGAAUCUUCCUGCUCCCUGCCCCACUCAUCGUGGUCGUGGCCAGCUGUGUCCAGCAGCCUGGCGCCCACUUAACAAACAGGAGCAAUGAGGGAGACUCCUCACCCGGGGCCAGCAGUGGGUCAGGGAAGAGGCUGGGGUUAGGGCUCAGGGGUCUCAACCUGGAGUCCUGUGUUUGCAGCUACAACUCCAAGGCCUUGGGAUUUGCCUAGUGGGGAAUCCUGGGCUCCAGGGAAGAAGUCACUGAAGGUUUACCAGGCAGACUUAUAAAUGGGGAGAAACUGAAGCCUAGAACGCCCCCCUCUCUGAUGACUGCUGCCUACGCUGCCUCCUUCCUUCUCUCAGCUCCAAAGGCACAGAAUGUCUGAUCGGAGAGUUUAGCUGCUUUCUACUGUUUUCUCACAGUUUCGUUUAUCAGCCUUGUCUUGCCAAUGAUACAGAAGCUCCCCGCAGGACAGUGGGUAGGUGGGAGCUUCCCGAUGAUCAUGUUGGUGUUGACAAAGCUCCCCAAAGUGGGGUAUUCCCUCAGGCUGGUCUCCGGAGCCGGCUCUGUGCUCUGAAAGCGGCCCAUCCUGCCGUCCUAGAGUAUAGGUGCCGUCUAUCUCUGUGUGUUGAGUUAUCGGGAGAUGAAAGAUUUUUUUCACUUGGUGAAUCCUGGCAUUGUGGGAAGACUCUCCUAACACAGACAUAAUUCUCUUGCAAUCCCACAGGCGCACACAUACACAGAGGCGUCACACACACACAGAGGCACACCCCUGGUGUGUCAUGGGCGUUGUUUUGCGUGGAGAACGUGGAGCGUGAAGACACAUUUUCUAUGACAGUGGUUCCCUUGGUGUGGGAUUGAUGGACCUGUGGACAACAGGAGUUUUGUUAGUGCUCUUCAGGGUCCCGGAGAUCAUGUACUAGAACACCUUUCCUCCACAGAGGAAGAGACUGCAACCCAGAGAGCUUUGUCACUUAGACACACAAUUUUACUUUGCUUGGGCUUCAGUUUCCCUAUAUGAAAAGAAAAAAAAAAUAGAAUUGCCCCAAAGGAUCUUAAGGACUUUUUCAGAAUUCCGUACAUAAUGAGUUUUUAUUGUCAUUUUCUCACCAUUCUUUGGCCUUUGUGGAACUGACUAGAAUAGCUCAAUUGUUUGUUAAGGAAUUUCUGACCUCAAUCAGUUUUCCUUAUAUAAGGAGUUACCAGUUUUAGAGCCUCAUGUCACUUGGGGCUGUGUCUCACUUAAAAGUGCUGUGAGAGCAUAUUGGAUUGCUGAAAGGAGAAACUGACCACCUCUUAGAAGACAUCACCAAUUCAAAUGAGGGUGUCUCCUUUCCUAGCGAAAACGGGCACUUAGACUAGUUUAGAGCCACCGGAGGUGGGAGGAUGAGCCAGAUGUCCCUGGAAAGCCAGUUUAGGGGUGCUUUUCUCAUGUUUUCCAGGGUUUAAUUAUGCUCCGUGCUUGAGAGAAAUAUUUUUGAACCUGAGGAUUUUUUAUCUUAACGUUGAACAAAUUAUUUAUCUUUCUUUUUCUGUCCCCUCCAUAGUUCCCCAAUGACUCUAAUUUUUAUUAUUGUUAUAAAGCAUUUUUCCUUAAAGAGUAAAGACGCAAAUAAAAAAAAUCUGCAGCUUAGACACAAGAACAAGAGUGAAUCUGACAGACCUAAGGUUGAGUGAAAGAAACAUGGCAAAGGGGUGUGUUCAGCAGGACUCCAUUCCUGUUAAGCUAAAAAUGGGCCAAAUGAAGCUAUCUUUUAAGGUACACAUACAUACGUGGCAAAAGCAUAAAGAAAGGUCAAGAAAUGAUGAUCGCAAAGUCAAGGUAAUGUUGUGUUUCUGGAUUGAUGGUAGUUACAUGAAAGUAUGCUUUAUUAUUCAUUAAACUAUAAAAAUAUGUCAUAUGUACCUUUUAAAUAAAAAUAGAAUAAAGUGACAUGGAAAUCAGAAAAAAGCUAGUAGCGUAAAAAUUGCAGAUUCAUAUGGUGGGUUGAAUGCUCUCUUCCAAAACCACACUAACAUGAUGGUAAAGGAAUCGUUAAAAAAUGCAUAAACCACAAAGACAAAAUGAAUCCAAAGAAGACAUCACCCACCGGUGUUUAUUUGUUCAUUUUUUUGUAUUUGAAAUACUCUUUGAUGACAUAUUUGGCUUUGAUUCUUUGGCGCUGGCCUUAACAACCAUACAGCUGCAACCAGUUGCUUACAGGGCUUUGCUUUUCUGCUGAUUUUGCAGAGGCCUUCUCCAUUCCUUUAGUUUGACCAACCUCAGUUAAGCUGAUGUGGGUGUCAACAAACAGUUCCUCAACCAGGUUUUUCUACAUAGACUCAUGAGGGUCAGAUGCAAGUACCCGUGAAUUCCACAAGCUAAGCCAUCGGGGAUGAGGGUGGUCUUCAGCACCCUUUUGAAGCAGUGUUAAUGUCCAUUUCUCCCCCAGCAGCAAUGCCUUUCUUGGCCAUGGUGGAGGCUUAAGGUUGGAGCUGAAUGUUGAACUCACUGGAGAUGUUCUGCCUUCAUGCAGCCCAGUGGCAGCUGGGAAAGCUGGAAAGUAGAUGGACAAGUAGUAACAGACUUUGCAUGUACUGUAUGAGACAGCUGAAUCCUAAGCGGCAGUGGGGAAAAUUGAGACACAAUUAAACUUGCAGCUCACAACCUCCAAAAGGCUUGGAAAUUGUGGUAUCAGGUAUUUUUGGAAGUGACGGUUAAAAUGGGGCUAAGAACUGGAGAAUUGGUUCAACGUUUGUAUUCUUAGAAAAUGCUAAGAGUAGAUGGCACAGUGUUCUCACCACAAAAAUAAUAACUAUGUGAGGUGGUGCAUAUGUUAAUUAGCUAGAUUGAGUAAUUCCACAAUGUAAACAUGCUUCAAAACAUGUUGUACACAGUAAAUAUAUAUAAUUUUAUCUGUCCAUUGAAAAAAAUUAAUUAGACCUCAGACCCCUACUCCUAUUCUCAGCAACUAAUACUCUUCCCAUUUCAGCUGAGGACUGGAGGAUAAAGCGGAAUGUUCUCUAAUGGGGAUAAAGCAAGAGGUCUGCAUGGGGGCACCACUGGCACAAUGGAGGGCAGCACGCCCGGGGCGAAUACAGGGCUGAGACUUCUGGAGUAUCUCCCACUUGCUCUCAGAGUGCUGUCCCAUAAGCCUGUACUCUCUAGGCAGAAGAUCUGCGUGGCUUUCCCUGGCAGAGUGGACCAGCCUAAAGAGGACAGCCCUAAGGGGGCCCUAAGAUCUAGCCAACAGGGCGUUCCAGCUGUGGGGCCUUAGAGCAAAGCCUAGUGCAUCAUAAGCCACACCUGUGCUCACAAUGUCCCAUCAGUUUUUGGUGGUUCUCUCUUAAAUAAGGUCCAUCAGUUAAGGAUCCCUAAAUGUCCCUAAAUAUCUUAGGAAGGCCUUGAAAAUAGAAACCAAAGCUAACAAGCAAAGGAUGCCUAUUUAAAUCAGAAUAUACACGAGGAAAACUUAAAAAAAACACAUUAUUUUCUGUCUUUAGAGGGAUAAGAUAUUAUAUCCUUGAUACAGAAGCUGAUUGCUAUGUAAAGGGAAAAAUUAAAACAUUGAUAAUUAAGAAAUGUGAUGACUGAGUGCUAUGAAUGGUUAGAAAACAAAAUUGAAGAAUAUCCAAGAAAGUAGGGCAAAAAAUCAGAGAUGGAAAUUAGGAGUAAAAAAAAUAUGACCAUUAGACAGUCCAGGAAGUCCAGUAUCUGAAUACUAGGAGUUCCAGAAAGAGAUAACUACAAAAACAGAGGGGAGGAAAUCACCAAUGAGACAGUUCUAGUACAUUUGCUAGAACAGAAGGAUAUUAGUAUCCAGAUUGAAAUGGCUCAUUAAGUGCCCUUACAAAUAGAUGAAACAGGCCUAUCCCAAGGGUACAUCUUUGUGACAUCUCAGAAAAGUAGGGACAAUUGGAUCUUACAAGUUUCUAGGCUGGGCACAGUGGCUCACGCCUGUAAUCCCAGUACCAGAGGCAGAGGCGGGUGGAUCGCUUGAGCUCAGGAGUUCGAGACCAGCCUGGGCAACAUGGCGAAACCAUGUCUUUACCAAAGAUACAAAAAAUUAGCGAGGCUUGGUGGUACGUGCCUGUAGUCCCAGCUACUCAGGAGGUUGAGAUGGGAGGAUUGCUUGAGCCUGGGCGAUGGAGCAAGACUCUGUCUCAAAGAAAAAAAAAGUUUCUAGAAAGAAGAAAUGUAUUACAAAAGGUCAGGAAUCAGCCUGAUUUACCCGCAGCCAUGUGGGAAGCUAGAAGGCGAAGGAGAAUUGCCCUCAAAGUUCUGAAGAAAAAUGAUUUCCAGUUGACAAUUUUAUAUCUGAUCAAACUAUCACUCAAGCAAGAAGGUAAAAGAGAAACAUUUUCAGAUAGGUAAAAAUAUAAAACAAAAAGAAAAAAAUAAAACUUAGCCCGAUGCACCUUCUCUCAGGAAGCUAUUGGAGUUCUUCACCAUGAGGAGGGAGUAAACCAAGGGAAACAUAGGAUCCCGGAAAUGGGGGCCAACACAGAAGAUGGAGUAUGUGAGAGGGGGCCCUUCAUAGUCGUGAUAAAGUGGAUGCAGGACAUUGAUCUAAACUAAAUCAUGACAAAACUAUUGCAGAGGAUAGGGAAGAGGUGAAAGAGGGCUAAACCCUUACCUUCUAUGAUGAGGAAAAAACCUUAAAAAUCACCAAGGGGCUACAUAAGCAUAUUAUUAAAAAUAUGGAAUGGAAUACCAAAAGAAACAGCUAAGGAAUUGAAAGCUUAUUGUUGUUGAGGGGCAGGUUGGGGAGGGGGGUAAGAAGAGAACUGUGGAUUUUUUUUCUUCAAUGAACCUUUUAGAACAAAUUGACUCUUUAAAUUAUGUGUAUAGGCCGGGCAUGGUGGCUCAUGCCUGUAAUCCCAGCAGUUUGGGAGGCCAAGGUUGGGAGGAUUACUUGAGCCCAGGAGUUUGAGACCAGCCUGGACAACAUGGCGAGACCCCGUCUCUACAGAAAAUACAAAAAUUAGCUGGGUGUGGUAACGUGUGCCUGUGGUCCCAGCUACUCAGGAGGCUGAGGUGGGAGGAUUGCUUGAGUCUGGGAGGUUGAGGCUGCAGUGAGUGCAGUGAGCUGUGAUUGUACCAGCCUUGGGGACAGAGUGAGACCCUGUCAAUAAAUAAAUAAAUAAAUAAAUUAAAUGUAUGCAUAAGAGAUAAAGAUUAAAACUAGAAAAAUGAAUAGCUGAUUAUUGGUGUUUAUCUCCUUUAGAUUUCUUUCUUUCUCUUUUUUUUUUUUUUUUUGAGAUGGGAGUUUCGCUCUCAUUGCCCAGGCUGGAGUGCAACGGCAUAAUCUCGGCUCACUGCAACCUUCACCUCCCGGGUUCAAGCAAUUCUCCUGCCUCAACCUCCCAAGUAGCUGAGAUUACAGGCAUGUGCCAUUACGCCUGGCUAAUCUUUUGUAUUUAGUAGAGACGGGGUUUCACCAUGUUGGCCAGGCUGGUAGCGAACUCCUGACCUCAGGUGAUCUGCCCGCCUCGGCCUCCCAAAGUGCUGGGAUUAUAGGCGUGAGCCACCGCUCCUGGCCUAGACUUAUUUCAUGUAAGUAAAACAAGAGUCCUGUGUUGUCCAUUCAUUUAUUCCACAGAUUUUGUUUUGAGUAUCUGUUAUGUGCUGGGCAUUGAGGCAAUUUCUUUUCUCCUUAUUUCCCCUUGUUUUCAUUGCUCCUGUUCUGGACCGUCCUGCUGGGAUCCUAUUUAAUUUGCUAGUUACCACCUGCCCUAUACGCCUCUGGAUUUCUGCUGGGUGUGGCUGUGGCCCUAGUGCGAUGUCAGGGAGGUCUUACUUAAUGCUUCUCUCAUGCUCUCCAGUGGUGAGUUGUCAGAAGUGGUACGUUUUGCUUUUUCUUCUGAGAUGGGAGAAGCGUGCUGUAUCCACAGAUUCCUAGCUGGCACAGUUGACUGUUUAUUUGCUUAGCACAUGGCCUGACACAUAGCAGACACUCAGUGGCUGAAUAAACAUGGUAACUGUGACAUGUACUCACUUUCUCUCUCCUGUCUCUGAUCCUCAAAGAGGACCAAAUAUCUGCCACCCUGCAUCCUCAGACGGCUCGUAACUUUGGCAAAAAGGGGCCACCACAGAGGGCCUGCUGCAGCCUUCCCAGUUCCCUGUUGUUUCCACUUUUGCUACCUGAAAUCUAAUGAUUUGAGAUCCAGUAGUUUGCGUCUUGAAGAAUAUUUGGAAAUUAAGGAAAAUACAGGUGUCCCUAAGAGGAAAAAUACUAUGACCCAUCAUCACAGUAAUUUCCAACCUGGAGCUCCCACAUGCUGGGAUCUCAUAACAGGCAUAAUGGUGGCCAGAGAGCACUUCUUAAUAUUUCAAAACACCUAAUGGAAACUGCCCAUUUAUUUAAGAUAAGGCUGCAAAGAGUAACUAAAAUGGCAAGUUUCUUUGCUUUCCAGUGAAAGAGUAUCGAUUUGGUAUGGUAGCUCUGGUUAUUUUUUAUUUUAUUAUUAUUAUUUUUGAGACGGAGUCUUGGUCUGUCACCCAGGCGGGAGUGCAGUGGCUUGAUCUUGGCUCACUGCAACCUCCGCCUCCCAGGUUCAAGCGAUUCUCCUGCCUCAGCCUCCUGAGUAGCUGGGACUACAGGCGUGCGCCACCACACUUGACUAAUUUUUAUAUUUUCAGUGCAGACAGGGUUUCACCAUGUUAGCCAGACUGGUCUCGAACUUCUGGCCUCGUGAUCCACCCUCCUCGGCCUCCCAAAGUGUUGGGAUAACAGGCGUGAGCCACCGCACCCGGCUAGCUCUGGUUAUCCUUUGCUGAACAGAUGCUUGAGUUGAUAGCUGUCUAUCUGUGAUAAACACAAGAAUGGAAGGAGAGAAUAAUGAUCAAUAACAGCUUAUGUGAUUGACAAGACCUUGCCAAAGGCAGUGUGGAUGUGGUGGGAUGGGAAGGGGGUCUCUGGGAGGGGAGAGACGGGGGCACUGCAUGCUACUUAGUUAUUCCUGGGGUUUGUUGGCAGCUGCACUGAGGACAGAGGGCUCCAGACAGGGGCAGAGCAGGGGCACAGAGAGUGGUGUGAGGCUCUAAACGCCAGCUUGGUCGGCCCACUUUGUCAUUUUGCUGAGGGCUGGUGGAGGUGCCGGUGUGGCUGUGCCAGGGGCCCCGCCUGUCACCUCUCCCUGCAAUCCAGACCCCAUCACAGAGCCCAUGGCAGCGGAGAUAAAUGCUUCGGCAAGGCAAACGAAUCUAGAGGGAAUGGGAGCCUCAAGCCGUGAAAAAUGAUGGGGACUGUGGCCUACUUUCUUGCUUUGUAAGAGUCACUUGCACUUUUCUGGGGCACAGCCAAACUGACGGUGCUGUAGAACAGGAUGUGCGAGAAUGCUGUUUGGCAAACAAAGAGCGCUCUCUGGCCCCCAGAGGUUCUGGCUUUUGAGCCCAGACUAAAGAAAGCCAGGCUGGAGACCGUAUAUCAAACUUUGCAAGCCCGUUUAUAUACCUUGCUGGUGCCUCAGGGGGCAGAAAUGCUGGUUGGGGAUCUUUGUGUUUUGUUUUGAAAGAGUGAUGUUUGGAAGCAGAAGCACUCAAAAAUAUAUCCUGACCUCUGGCACUUAGAACCUCCACCAGAGCUUGGCACUUAACUGUUCUGUUUCUCGUGAUAUGUUCUAAUUAUCUGUUUCCAGCCAGAUUGUAAGGUCAACAAUGGUAGUUUAUUUACGAGUAAGUCUUAGUUUUCUCAUCUGUAGGAAUGGGGAUAAAAAUGCAGGUUUGCUAUGAGUGUUAGGGGUUCAGGGUUUAGUUUUGGGCCUAACUGCUCCUGUCUACCUGUCUACCCUUCCAGGGCCUCUCAGGACACACCUUACUCCCAAAGCACAAUAUCCAAAUGGCAAAGAGGUUGUCCCUUUCUUAAUGAGCUCCACAAGCACCUGACCACCACCCCCUCCCAUUCGAGGCCUCCCUGUCCCCUCCCGCUGAACCUAAACCGCUCUGAGGAGCAGCUCUCCAGCCAUCAGUCCUGCUUGGAUGAGGAUGCUGAUUUUGUGUCUAGGGAAACAAGUCUGCCCCGUUUGCCUUCCACAUGGAGGCUGAGGGUACAAGAGAAAGUUGGGGGAAAUAGCAAGCAAAGUUCAGAGGGCAGUGGUCCAUUUUUUCUUAUCAGCCACAAAACAAAAAAUAAAUAAAAGAAGGAGGAGGCCGUGUCUUUGAGGCACAGUAAGCCUGCCCACUGAAUGUCCCUGAGAGUAACUAGUUAUAAUAGCUACUCCUUCUACAGGGAGACCUAGAGACGGGGCAGAGAGAGGAAAGGACGUGCCCCCGUGAAUAGCAGAGGGGUGAACAGUAGGCCUGGGGGAGAAAUUGCCUUCCUGACAAGAAGAGUUGGAGAUGAUGAAUACAAAACCCCUGGGACACUGCCUGGCCCAUAGUGAUGUUACCAUCAGUAGUGGCUUUGCCGUUUCCAGAUUGACAUCCAUGCCCUAAACAGAGAACUUUGCUGAGAUGAAAUUUCCUUGUUGGUAUACUUUUGUGAACCACUCCAUUGAGAACCAGCACAAAGCCAUUGCCUUCUUGAACGUCUUCAUUAAAACUAGAAUAAUCUCUGCCCCUCAUUUGCCCAUGCACAUGGAAAACCCACGGAUAUGCCUUCCCUGAUGGAAAAUAUGACCACUGACUGGAGUUCGAGACCAGCCUGACCAAUAUGGAGAAACCCCAUCUCUACUAAAAAUACAAAAUUAGCCAGGCGUGGUGGUGCAUGCUUGUAAUUCCAGCUACUUGGGAGGCUGAGGCAGGAGAAUCACUUGAACCCAGGAGGCAGGGGCUACCGUGAGCCGAGCCGAGAUCACGCCAUUGCACUCUAGUCUGGGCAACAAGAGUGAAAUUCCAUCUCAAAAAAAAAAAAAAAAAAGUGACCACUGAAAUGUGUAUAAUGCUUUAAAAUUGACAGUGCAUUUUCUCAUCCAUCAUUUGAGCCUCACAACAGCCUUGUGACGUAGGCAGUAUUCGUAUUCUCACUUCAAAGAUAAGGAAGCGGAUGCUGGAAUGGCUUGGGCACCAGGCCAGGUUCAUACAGUAAGUAAAUGGCCAAGGCAGGGUGUAAUCUUUGGACUCCACACCCAGCGCUCCUUUUUUUUUUCUGUCAUCUGUGAUGCUUCUUCCACCCUGCUAUUGAUAGCCUAGGAACAAGAUGUGUGACUUUUCUUACCACCCCCUGGUGGGUACAUCCUGGGUACACUUUUCUGUUUUCUAGUGGGGGUAAGGAAAAUGGCUUUCAGUGGUGAAGGUUCACAGAAAGAAUGGGAUCCAGAAGCGUCUUCCAGCAUGGUCCAGGUGCCAGAAGACUUUGGCAGGCGAGUUGACCAUGGCUGAGUCAGGCCCUCCUCCCCCGCUCCCUGGAUUUUGGAUCGAUUUUGCAGCGGCUCUGGCGGCUGCAUGUGUUUCCCUUGGCCUCUGAGGCAUUCCAGUGAUGAUGAUGGCUCGGCGGGGUCACGGCCCUGUACAAAGCAAGGGCUAUUUGUGGCUGAUCUAAAACAUAACUGGAGCCACCUGCAUCCGAGGCUGGCUUCUCGGGCUCUGGGUCCCAUAACCCAGCUGGAGUAAAAAGUUCACGUUCCCGUGUGGAGUAGAUACCAAAAGUGACGUCUCUUUCUUUCUUUAGGUUUGGCUGCGUAAUUGGAAAACCAAGCUGCCCGCCACCUUGCCGUGGCUUCUUCUAUCCCUAGGGCCUGGAGUGGGCUUCCUCCCUCCCCUCCUCUAUCUAAACCCUCCUUGCUGCAAGACCCUGCUCCUUUCACGGAGUCUCCAUUCCCAGAAUGUAUGUGACCUCAUUGUUUGUCAUCCAUGUUGGGGCUUUUAAGAAUAUCCCCUUGCACCAUUUUAUGACUGCUUCAUGGACAAUAAUCCUGACUGUGUUCUUUGGGGCCAGACACUGGGUCUGCUUUCCUUCCUCUCUCACAGUGCCUGGCUGUGCUGGGUACACAUGAAGGCUGACGGUUCACUGAAUGAGGCAUUGUGGAGGGCGUAGAAAACAUGGAGACCUGGGAACCCAGAGACCAGGUUUUGUUGCCAGGGCAAAUCCCUUUGCCUCUCUGGGUUGCUCAGUCCAUAUCUGUAAAAUGAGAGUUGAACUGGAUGAUCUUUAAGGUCCAUUUCAAAUUCAAAGUUCUGGAACUAAUUGUAGACUAAGCCGAAGAGAUGCUCAUUGCCUUUACCUGUCUCUCUCUGCUCCCCAUAUUGCAGCCUGGUAAGCUGUUGUGGCUUAUCACCCGCACCUCUGAUUUGCCUGAAUGUAACUUAAAAACUUGUCUUCAUAAUAUCAGGAAGGUCACAAAAGAGAAUGAGGGAGUGUUGAGUAGUGUUUAGAAGCAGAGACUGGGGAAUCAGACAAACUUGGGUUUCAGUCUUAGCCCUACCACUUAAUAGUUGUGUGGCCUUGAGCAAGUCACCUUGUUAAGUACCACUUUCUUUUCAGAAACAUGGAGUUAAUGCCAGUCUCACAAGGCAAUGGAGGAAUAUGUGAGAUAAUACAGGUAUGGCGCACACACAGUGUCAGAGCUCACUCAAUGGUGGCAGUCAUCGUCAUUGAAGUGGGGAGGGGAAAGAAGCAGAGGGGUGUGUUUUCUAGUCCUUUGGUGAGCAUUUUCUGACUUGUAAACUAUUGGUUGCAUUUUAAGACAGUGCCUUUAUCAUUUUCAUAAGCAGUGUAAUGAUUUGAGGAAAACCAUUUUAGUUCUAAUAAGAACACUAGCAGUACUAAUUGUGCACAUGAUAGCAUUUUAAUAGAGUUCCAUAAUUUAUGGAAUUGGGAAGACUUACAAAAACAUGGGUUGACUCUCUAGAGUCUUAGGUUUCUGGUGAGUGAUUCAAACAGGCUGCUCUUGCUUCCUGCCAGUGCAAAUAAAUCAAUUGUAAACCUGCACUUUUAAACAAAAUUGUGAAAAAGGAAACAAAUCCAGUGAUAAGAAACUAUUUUAACAAGACACUUCAUUCUUGAGGUGAUUUGCUAAGGAGAGAUUUUCCAGAUUGUCCCUGAACUACCAAAAGCAACAGACACACUGUGGUACUUGCUUCUCUUUUUCUAGCUGCUCUGGGUUUAAGUAACUGAAGCCUUCUCAAGUAUUAAAUUUGGAGGGUGGCUCAGUGAUCUAAGCAAUGAAGACCCAAGAAAGACUUUGGGUCUGAAUCAAAGUUUUCCAACUGCCUUGCUUUGAGUGCUUGGAAAGUCACUUCCUAACCUUGGAUACCUCAAUCUUACCAACUAAAAGAGUGGUAGAUGGCGGGAUGAACAUCGCCCAGCUUUAGACAGUGAAACCUGGAUGAACUUAACCUGGCUUAAGAUGAUCCCUUUCUGUUUAAGUGGAAAAUGCAUGGUGAGUGAACAUUACCUUUCAAGCAACUUCUGGACAGAGUCCAUAUGUGUGUGUGUGUGUAUGUGUGUGUAUUAGCCUGAAGUUCAAGUACUUGCAAAGGUUUCUAGCACACAGUGUGCAGUAGGUGAGCUAGACUUAGUUAGACUUAGGACUUCCAGAUCUCCCAUGUCUUGACAAUUGUGUUUAACUGAGUUUUAACAUUGACUCUCAGAGUCAGAAAGAAUUCCAGAAGAUAAAGGAAAACCAGAAAGCCAAACUUUAAUAAAUACUCAGAGAGCAAAAAGAAAUAAUGGAAAUGGCAUACGUGCAGAGGGCACGUAGUUAGUGAAGAAAUAGCUUUUGAUGAAACAGGACAGGGUGAAACUUCAAAGACUUGUCUUUUAUCCAUUAAUCCCAUUAGUGCUCCAGCGAUUUCUCAAAGAUUGAUUAUCUCUGGGGAAAUGUGUUACAUCAGCCCUCAGCUUUCCAGUCCCAUUAGACCCAGCAAACAUUCUGUGCUGCUGGGAUGAUGGGCUUCUGUGCCAUGUUUACCCAUAUUCCUCCAGCUUGGCCCCCUCCUCACCAGCUCCAGUCAGGAACAGAGAGAGGCCUCUACCAUCAGUAGUCAUUCUUUGGGAUUAUCACUCACACCCCUUUGGAAGGGAAGAGAAACAUAAAGAUAAUGGGCAAGCAGCAUGUGCUCAGGUUAACUUUACAUUGGCUGAUCAAUUCUUCAUAUAGCCUUGGGCGUUUAUUAGGACUUUCAUGGUGGAUAGACACACUGUCCCCAUUCAAAGUGCCUCUAAAUUAGAAGUGAGAUACCUAAGGAGUGUCAGCAAUGAGGAACAAUGGGCUUCUCUUGAAGUCUUGCUCUCUGUCUAGUAUGGUGGGCAAAGGAAUUUAUCGGUUACUAAUUUUAUAAAUAACCUUCUCACAGUCUCUGUUUUGUCAUAUGUAAAAUGGCAGCAAUGUAAUGUAUCCCUCAUAGCGUUGUUAGGAGGACUAAAUGGGUUAGUAUUUGUUAAAUGCUUGGCAUUGUGCCUGCCUCACACCAUACAGGCACUCAAUAAAAGUUAGCUGAAAUUAUGUUAACUAGUCUAAGCAGAGGAUUAGUAGGCACGUUGGAACUGAUGCUAAGAAGGAAUAAGACUCACCUUGGGAAAAGUGGGGAUCAGGGAGAAGACUAGGCAGCAGGCUUCUGAGUGUGGGAGUGUGCAGGAUGUGAGCACAUCUCUGCAGUGCCUGCGCCCUCCUUGCCACAGAAAUAACCUACACCAGACGUAGUAACAGAAAAAGAACCCAAGCAUUUUCAAGACAAUGUGAGCAAGGUAGAAAAGGGCGACCCAUGAGUCAACAAUACUCAAGCUUUUAUCAGUCUCAGUUUCUUCAUUCUUUGUUUCAUUCAUUCAACCCACGUUUAUCAUCAAACCUGUGCUGUUGAUUGAUGUUAUAGAUAAAAAUGAACCACUCCCUACUCUCAAGAAAGCAGAAGAAGGAAGCAGGUAAGUAACUAGACAAUUAUAUAACAAGUUCCUGAGUGAUCAGGAGGAAUGAAGUGCCCUGGGAAGGCUUCUGGGAGGAGUUGAUUCCUAAGAUUAGAUGAGUGAGAGUUAUCUAGUGAGGGGAAAGGCAUGGAUGACAGAGCAUUGUGUGUGACAAAUCCUUGUCUGCUAAUUCUCACAUUUAACUCAUCUCAGAGUCAGUCUCCAUUGAUUGCCUAUUAAGUAUGGGCCAUAUUUUUAUGUCUAGUAAUUUUGGAUUAUAUUCUAGACAUUGUUGAUGGUCUAGUGUAGAGACUAUGGAUUCUAUUAUGUUUCUCUGGAGAGUGUUGACUUUUUAUUUUAGCAGGCAUUUAAUUUGACUGAACUCAAACACCAAACUAUCUCCUCCAUGGGGGGCAGAAGCUGAAAUCUCUGAUCAGUUCUAUUAAUUUUAGAUGGGUUGCUUGGAAUCUGCCCCAUGCAUGUAUAGCUCAGGAGUCAGCCACAGAUUUGGAUGGAGUUUAUAUGCAGAAUUUGGAGCAUCCCUUCUGAGGCUUUCUCCUUUUGGGGAUUUCUGCUUCCAUUUUCCAGCUGCCCCAACCAUUUGCUCCUUCCAUUUUCCAGCUGCCCUUCUGAUCCUGCAGAUUUCUAUCUAGUUUCUAAUCACUCUAUAUACUACAGAUUGGGUUCUGCUCUCAAGCAAAAAACUGUGAAACCCAGAAACUCAUCCAAUGCUCCCUUCUCCCAGGUUCUGCCUGCUUUGAGUUGCUCUCUAGUGCAUGCAAAUAGGUAUUUUUAAUUUUUUGCUAAGUAAUAGUUAUGUUCAGAUGAUAGGUCCAAUAUACACUACUCUGAGAUAUUGGAAGCAAAACUCCCACAAUGGAUAUUUCAAGAACUGCAAGUAGGUCAGUUUGUGUGUGGGGGGGAGUGUUUGUGUACAUGUGUGCAUGCGUGUGUUACAGGGGCAUGGAAAUAUGCACAGCUUAAAGAAAGGCAGAGGUCAGAUCAUCAAAAGCCUUCUGGGUUAUAUUAAGGAAUUUGAACUAGAUCCUGAAGGCUGUGAUGGAGAGCUUUAAUCUUAAGAGUAAAAUGAUCACAACUGUUCUUAGAAACAUUGCUGGGCAUCUGUAUGAAGGAUGAAUCAAAAGAGGUAGAAAGAUAGGGGAUUGAUGGGGAAACAGAAUUCAGUUUUUGUCCUCUGGAAGAUGAGGGGUUGAACUAGAUGAUCAUUAAUGUCUCUUAUGGCUCUAGUAUUCCGAUCUUCCCAUUAAUGACUUUACUUGGUCCUACUGUAGCCAGGAGUUCCCACAAGGCUGUUUUUUGCAGAGCACUAUACACAGCCCUUGAAGCCCAGGCUUUAAAAAAUGCCAUUUAGUGAUAUUUUAUGGCUUGUGAAUAGAUUAAGGUAAUGGAGGCACAAAA